rnacentral:lncRNA from 1 species
GGCGCCGCGUCCCCUCUCCUUCACGUCUCCACGUUUUAUCACCGUUUCUAAUGGCGCGCAUGUCGACCUGAGUGGGAUGUAAUAUGAAAUUCUGUUUCAUUGCUGUUCUCCGAAGGGACGACUGAAAACAAGGACACGUUCGCGAAGUGGUUCACGGAGCAAGCGCCCUUGGUGUUUAUUUGGUGAAAACUGGGUGUUGUUUCAAUGCCAAAGCCUCCUGUCUCCAUAUAUAUAUAUUUGGGGAGCACAGAAAUUUCACGGGAUUCGCAGCUCCAGCCCGUGUACUACAGCACUGUUGACAGUCCGACAUCAGGCAACAUGGUGACCGCCGCCGCGCACAAAGCCUCCUCCACACCGAGCCGCCCUGCCGAGCGCAGCGAGACGCGCGCAGUAAGGAUUCAAGGUUGGUAACAGAUCAGGGAAGAAAAAGGCAAAAGGCCCCUCACAGACGCCAGGCAGAGCCUUCGUCCCGAAUCACGAUGGCACGGGUGACGACCAGAGAGCAGACGAGUCGCUUCUGAAUGAGGAGGAGACGUUCGUGAAGCGGGAGUCGCUGACAUAAGGCAUUGAUUCGCACGGACUGAAUUUUUUUUUUGCCACUUUGUUGUUUUCUCUUUUUCUUGAUGCAACCAAUGCAACUAAAUUAGUGCCAAACAUAAAGGAAACACUGUUGAACGAACGUAGACUUGUUUCGGUGUAUAUUAAUGUCACCAAGCCUUUUUAGAAACAAAAACUAGUCUUCGGCUGGUGUCAAUUUUUAUAUACACACAUAUAUAUAUAUAUAUAUAAAAUUAAAGCUUUUUACAAAGACCUCCUUAAACUAAGGUACAUUUAAAAAUUUUGUUAAUUAUCUGCUGCCAUUUUCUAACGACCAGUCAUUGAAGUUUACAUAAAAAAAAAAAAAAAAAAGACAUUUUAACAGCUGCUGCUCAUAGAAACCUUUAGUUGUGAAUGAUCAGUGCAUUACUGGUUCAAAGUGCUUUACAUAAGAAUUUACACUUGAUGGCCUGUACUUGUUAGUGGUGCAUUAGCUGUAGCAUUGAGGGGCAGUUACUUUGACUUUGUAAAUGCUGGCCACUGAAUUGAUUGACCGACUGAUGGGCGAAACAAGCGACAUUUGUUCCUCUAAAGUGAUCUGCUGCUAAAUUCAGUCAAUGCGCCGGGUGUCGGUCCCUCGUGUCUGUCUCCCCAUCUGAAUUCCCGCUUGCCUUGUAUGUUUUUUUUAAGCCACUGCAUCAAGUCACAGAACAGUUAAAAAUGAAAUAUUUGCUGGCCUUUUAGCCUCCUCAGAUUUGAGAACAUUAGGUGGUUCUGUGCUUAAAGAUCACCUGAGGGUACGCUGGUAGUCUCAUCUUGCGUUGGUGUUAAAGAAGACAAAUCAUAUAAUGGAUCUUCUACAUUUGCUUUAAACGUAUAAAAUAUCUGGAACUGUACAGACCCGUGUAAAGUGAAAAAACUGUUUGAGGCACCUUGACCAAGGUGAGCUUUACUGGACCGUAGCUAGUGCUAAAUCUGUACAGUACGCUUAACACAGAGCCUACACCGCAGCAGGGGUUCCUUUCAUGCGCUCUGACCUGACGGAUGAAUCCGACUCCGUUCAUGUCUGUGCCGUGGGCAGAACCCCCCUGUCCUGCCAGAAUCGGGCCUAAGCCCACCUUCGUCCUCUUCUGCUGGGCUGAGUUAAACCCAGAACAGAGACACACCAGUAAGGGGAGUGGACACAGGUAGACCCUAAUAGUGACUCGGGUCCCAACUUCCUGUGUCAAUUUUUGACAUAUGCUAACUCAUGAGCUGCGAGACGUGUGAUCAGCCUACAUGCUGCUUAGUACCACUGUUACAUUCUCUUAUCUUCCAGUAUUACUUGUGCUGAGUCUCUUGCACAAAAGUGAUAGGUGAGCUUCUUCCUGUUUCUUCUCAAAGUUUAAUUUCAAAUAUAUAAGGAAAAUAGUUUCCAGGCUAUGUGUUAAGGCAGCCCUUGUUUAAGGUCACUUAAGUAAAAAGAAACCCCCCUUGCAUGCAAACACAACUGACUAAACUGAUCCAGAAAUACUCGUUCCAACUGCCAACUCGGUUGCUAUAUAUCUGCUUAGAUCUGUUUACAAAACCGCAGCUCCAGCAACUGCAGGGAAGAGCUUAUUAAGUCAUAUAAUAGUUUUUCUAAAAUUUGCCCCCAUGACAGGAAAAGGUUUAUAGGUCAAAUAGGUUAAACAGAAUUAUUACUAAAGUGCCAAAUGCACAAUUUUAUUUGUAAAUGGCUAAAGCAAAGGCUACAGCAAUCAGCAAAAUGUAAUGUUCAGUAGAAACUGUUUUCAGGUGCCGCUUAGCUGUUGUGAAUUGUGCAUGUUUGAACACAAACCAUUUUUAUGCUGAGGGGACAAAAACUUGGGCCUCUCAUUCGAUUUAAAAUUAAUCUUAAAGAAUAAAAAAAGAAAAAAAAAACGUUUACA